AAAACUAGAGAUCGGCUGGACCGAUUUGGCUUAUUUUGAUCUUGAAUUCUUUUUCCAGGGAAGGUUUAAAAAAUAUUAAAAUUUGCCAGGUCCGAAUCAAUGCGGAUUGUAACAAUUGUUUAAGUCAAAAUAAAAAUGGUGACGGUAAAUCGAAAAGUGGGCUGUCGUUAGAUCUUUUUUUAUUUAACAGAGCCAUCCAUCAGCCACUACAUAUACAGAUACAGGUACAGAUAUAUUGCAAACCAAAAAUCCCAAUACUAUUCUGCAUUUGUCAGAGAAAUGUUAAUCCAAUAAUAAGAAGACUCUACCAGACUCGAAAAUAAAAAUUGAGACAUGCUCGGUAGUUACUCUUGUCGCCACUCGCCCAACUUACCACGUGUAGUCAUGUAUAUUAUAUUAGUCAUAGAUAUUAGUAUAGAAAAACCAUAUAAGGAAUACAGGUGGUCAUCUACCGAGAACAAGUCAUUUCAUUACCAUUAAAACAAUUUAAACGACGGAUAUGGAAUGGAGUUAUCAAGAAAAUUGAAUAUUUCCAUAAAUUUAGAUAAAAAUAAUGAUCUCAACGGGUUUUCUGUUUUCCCACAGUUGUUAAAUUUUACAACGGUUGAAAGUUGACAAAUAUAUCCAUUAUAAAAUAUGUCAUGUCGAUGAAGUGAAAACUUUUUGUUCCAUAAUAGAAUUAAGCUUAAGAAUGGGAGAGUCGUGCUUAAGCACGAAUGGGCCGGCUCGACCAGAGUAAUACUACGGCCUCACAGAAAACCGACGUGAAACAACACUUGCGUUGUGUUUCGUUCUGUUGUUCUGAGGUUACCGGAGACCCAAUUACCCCUCUUCCCAAAUUUACCAAUCCCCGAUUCCCCAACAACCUUAAAUUUUUAACCCCCAACCGGCCGGCAACGCACUAAUAACGCCUGUGAUGUUUCGGGUGUCCAUGGGCGGUGGCGAUUGCUUGCCAUCCGGUGAUCCGUCUGCAUGUUUACCGGUUUAUACCAUUAAAAAGUUGGUUCUCCAUACUAAUUGUGAAGAAAUCUGAACUUUAAAUACAUGUAUAAUGCAGGUAAAUCUCAAAUCAUUUGAUAACAUAACAUAUUUUUUUAACUAAAGCAGUGCCAGUAUCCAUUAAAAUACACUUAUUCAGUACAAAUUAACACACCGUUGAAAAACUUGACUAUAUUUAUUAUAAAUAAUAAUGCAUAUAUAACUAUAGAUAUACAGACGAAGACCUAAACGUGGAUGUCAUACUUAAACAAUUGUAAUUCCAAUCUUUGUUUCUCUACUGGGUUAUGCAAGAAAAAUUUACAAUAAUUAUUGUAAAUUGUAGUGAAUAGCAAUUAUUCUUGAUUUUCUAUCUUAUUGAACAUUGAUUUCUUAGAAGGAAUCAUAAUGACCUAUUGUAUUAGAGAAAAUUCUUGAUGAUACACAUAUUUUAAAACAAUUAUCAUUAAUACUCGACAUCACGCAUGAUUGCCACUUCCUAAUGACCUAUAUAGAUUGCGCUUAUCUUAUUACCAGAAUAGAUUAUUGAACUAUAAAUAUUAAAACUAAAAUGUUUUAAUUUGAAGUACUCCAAUUAUUAAAAAAAAACAAUUAACAAUACAAAUAUAACAUUCGAGUAGUCAAUGUACUAAAAAAUCCCAAAUAUACUAAGGAUAUUAAUAUUAAUAUACUAAGAAAUCCCAAAACCACUCAUCAAGCAAAUAAAUGCCUAUGAUAUCACUGCUAGGUAUGAAUGUAGAUACUAAAAGGUGUUAAUUUAAAAAAUACGCAUAACGUAAGGAUUUCCCGAACGCUUCGAGAAAAUUUCCAUUGAUGAUGAGGUAAUAAAUCCGAAUCAUUUCAUAACACAUAAUUUGUUGUUAUCAAACACGUCAAAGAGGAUACAAAACAUCCUUAUUUUGAUAAUUACGGCACGCAACACGCCGCCCUAGAAUGCGACGCAGAAAACUACACGAAACCGCUCCGGCACAACUUUUACGAAGAAAAAAAAAAGAACGCGCGUCAGUGACACGCCCGUUCAUCAUAAAGAACCAUCCAAUUACUGAGCAUCAAAACAAAAAGCCGCUAUGACGUCUGUGGCCGACCAAUGUUUGAACUCGCGCUGACCUAAACGAUCGCGCAAUCGUUAUAUAUAAGAAGUGGGAGGUGCAACUCCUCACAACUCAUUGAGCGCUAGCAGCGAACAGACGUGUUGUAAAUUUUUAAUUACAAUUUACUCUAAACAAAUCAAAAUGUACACAAACCCUUUCGAGAGGAAACACUCGUCAUUGAGGCAGGCCCUUGACCGCUUCAUGAGGGGUGAGACCCGCCUCAGCUUCAGGAAGAAGACGGACUUAUCCAAGUCUUCAAGCAGCAGUACAUCUUCCAUGGUGUCUUCAAACAUGGAUUACAACUACAAACCUAAGUUUAACGAGAAGAGGUGAAGAGAACAAUCGUGUGUGUUGUGAUAGUGAAUUAUUAUUGCCAGUUACACUCUCAAAACAGGUCGAGUGUGGCUGAGACCGGUUGGAUGACGUCAGAAGAACGUGGACCAGUGGACGUGGGACUUCUACCCAUUAAAAAUGAUUGAAUAAAUUUAUUUUUUUAUUCUAA